rnacentral:lncRNA from 1 species
CAUCAACAGAUAAUGGAAGGCCACUGAAGGCUUUCUGAACAGGAGUAGAAUCUUUUUAUAUUUUAAAACUAGUAGACUACAGUAAGUGAGGAAGAUGGAGGGAUGAAAGACGACAACUUUUGUUCAUUUGUUUGUUUGUUUUGCCUGGGUGACUAUCUGCAUGAUGGUAUCUGCUAGAGAUAGGGAAGUCAGAAGAAAGGGCCAAAUCACUGGAGAAAGAAAAUGCUUUACUUGGACAGUCUGGAUGGGAAGUUCCAGUGAGUCAUCCUGGUGGCAAUGACUGGCAGAUUGUUGGAAAUGGAGGAGCUAAAGCGAGAGAGGCUAAGAAUAGAGAUAUGGAUUUGGGAGUUAGUGGCAAAUAGAGUUAAACUAUGGGAAUGUAUAUGAUGGCCUGAGAAGAAAUUAUAGGAGAAGUAAGAAGGACUAAGGGCUGAGCCUGGGAGACAGGACAUGGAGGGGAAAGGCAGCUGAGAGGAGCCUUGAAGAAGACUGAAGAGGAAUAAUUGCUACUGAGGAGAAGCAAGGCAGUUCAGUGUGAUGGAUGCCAAAAGAUGGAGAAGUCAAGGAGGUGGCCACCUGCUGGAGAGUGCAUGUCUCCACUGCCUUCCUCAACCUCUGCAUGUGGAGUCUGCACUUGACAAGAUCAAUGGCCCAACACCACGUGGAAGCUGCCAAGGCUUGGGGUUUGCACCAUCUGAAGCCAUGGCCUGAACUCUAUGUUAGCCCCUUUCCACCAUAGCUGGAGCUGCUUGGACACAGAGCACCAAGUCCCUAGGCUGCACACAGGUGUUCCUUGUUCUGAAGAGGAGAAACAGUAAAAAAUUUGCCAAGGACCCAAGAUAGAAGACUGUGGGCCCAGAUCCUAAUGUAAAAGAAGCCUGCCUCAACUUAAUUUUCCUGGACAGCAAGAGCUAUGAAAAUGAACUGGGUGAAUAUUGGUGUUUUCAGCUUGAGGUUCCAAUGAAUUAGGACAAUCAGAAGGAAGAGUUUAAUUUUGGGGUCUAGCAUGAGACCAUUCAGUUCAAACUUUCAUUUCACAGUUAGGAAACUAGACCCAGAGAGGCACAGUGCUUCGGCUUGAUGCUAAUAGACUGAUUUUGGAAGGCAGUUGAGCUGGAAGACACAGAUCUGGGGGCUGUCAGCCAAGGGCUGAGAAGGAUGUGAAUUAAGAAGGUGGGAAGGGAAUUGAUGGUUAAGGCCUGAGUCUUGAGAGAAACCCAUGGCCAGGAGCAGAGGAGUUAAGAUUCAUUCAGAAAUGCUCCUACAGACGUGGGAGAACAAGGAUUGUUCAGUAUAAUGGAAGCCAAAGGAGAGGGUUUUGAGGAGCAAAAGACUAGCCAACAGUAGCAAUUGUGUCAAGGUGAUCAAGGAAUAAGAUGUAAACAAUUGUUGGAUUUAUAAUAUGAUUUUAAAAGUGCAGUUUCAGUAAAGUGGUAAGAAUGGGAGGACAAUCAAAUGGCACGUGGUGUGUGUGUGUGUGUGUGGAGGUUGUGGUGUGUGUGGGGGGGGAUGUAUGUGUGGAGAGUGUGGCAUGAGAUGCAUGUGCAUAUGUAUGUUUAGGAUGAGGUGUGUGUGGAGAGUGAGAUGUGUGUGUGUAGGAUAUGAGGUGUGU